ACAAUAUUUAAUAAUUAAUCACUGAGCCUGAGGCGAAUAAUUGUUUUAGUAGUAUAAACAAGUCUUUUGUAUUUUUGGGACUGAAUUUAUUUUAAUUUCGCUUAUUUCUUUAUCAGUAACUUCCACAAAACGUUUAGCCACCAUUCUGAAAAUUUUAGUUUAGUUAUAUUCACCUGUACGUAGCCUAUAGAUGAAUAUAACAGCUUAAUAUGUCAAAUUUGACCAAUCAACUUGUAGGAUUUGUUAUAUCCACUUGUACAAAAAUACUAAAAUAUUAUGUUUGUAAGUUUGUUGAGAGAGAUUCUAAAACUAAGGAUUUUAUGGAAACUGAUUGUUCCUUGUGAGGACUUCGAGCAAAACUGUUUGUCUACUUUUGAGUCAGCAACAUACACCCAAAAGUUAUUUCCUGUUUUUCAUCCAUAAGCUCUUUUCCAAUUGAAAAUUUCCGUUUGCUUUUGACCAAUAUAAAUAAAAGUGUAAAAAAAUAAGAAAAUAUUUUAUGAACAUUUGAAACUGUUUUCGUUUUAAAUUUAUAAAUAAUACAAAACGGGAGAACUUUUCCCUAAGUGAAAUUUAGGGCAUGUUUGUUUGUAAAAUAGUGGAUCAAUGUGUAUCAUUUUAUUGUAUUUAUCAAAGACGAGAGAUGUACCAUUUUCUUAAUUUCUUAAGCAUAGGCAAUUAGGCAUAGCAAAUUGAAACUGAUUUUUUUGUUCGAAAAAUCAAUCAGAAUUGGAGAAAUAACAUUAUAUUAAAAUUUUGUUCAACUGUAUUUUCAUCACUUGAAUUAGUAUUAACAUUAUGUAUAAUCAAUUCAAAGUUGUCAGGUUAAAAACGACUCUCAAAGAUAUAUGGCUCCGAAAGACCGCAGGAUAAUUUCAAAUUCUUAAAUUCUUGAUUGGCACUUGAAAGAAAUGUUCUUAUAUAUGUUCAAUUGAGUAUGGAACCAAUGAUCUAGUCGUAAUGUUUCGAUGUUUAAAAAUAUCAUUUCUGAGUUUAAUGAAGUAUGCUGUCAAUUCAUUGUGAAAAUAUUAAGGCAUUUGACAAAUGAAUUUGUUUCAAACAAUUGGAAUUUGUUGUCGACGACAAUGUCUUCCCAACCACUUGACAACUGAUCUCGCAUUGCAACUAAUUGACUUCCCUUAGCAUCUAAACAUCGCGAUAAAAUCAUUAUUUUCCAUACUCAAGCGAAAUUUUGGUCACUUCACGAAAAACAGUUAGUUCGUGUCCAAAAAAGUAAAAGAGCAUGUUCGAUUUACUUUGUCUUUGAGCCAUAUAUUUUCUUUGUAAAACAACCUGGUGUUAUACGCUUUCGAUUUCUCCGUCAAACUCGUAAAAUUUAUCAUUAGAGUUGUUUUACAAUAUUUAUUUUGAAGUAUAAACAAUUUAUCUUGAAAAGACCAGGUUCUCUUGUUUCCUCAAGAAUUAACGUUUUUAAUGUUAAUUCGCGGGCAAACAAGUCUUUUAAUGUUGUGUUUUCACUUGUGCUUAUUCACUUGUGUUGAACACAAUGUUAAUUGUUCUCUUUGUGCCAUGUUCUGUUUUCUUCUAUUGUUAUUUAAAUAAAGUAUGCAGUGGUUGUUCUCUCUUUAUUGUUAUUCAAUUUGUAAUUACAAUUCUUUUCAAUAAAUUGUUCAUUAAUUAUACAAGAGACUCCUUUUUAAUUAAAAAUUCAAUUCCCAUGGGAAUUGAAAAAAAAAAUAAAAAAAAUUCCCCUACCCCGGCCGGCUCCCCAAGUGCCACCUCUACUUCAAGCAGAAGUACUUCUACUAUAUAGUAAAAGUACUUCUACUUAAAGUAGAGGUAGCACUCGGAGAGCCAGCCGGGGUAGCGGGGCGAAGAGAAGACCAACCUUGCAAAUGCAAAAUAAUGCAAAUUGCUAAGUCGAUCUUCUCUUGAGAGCAGCCACGCGCAUACCUAGCAAAUGUAAAUCAACAAGCAUUAGUAACAAAUACUCGACAUGCAAAUUUUGAAUCCCAUGGCCGAAAUGACAAGUGCCCCCCACUGAUUCCUACCAACUGCCUACCUGCCUCAGUCCUAAGCUGUCUGCCUCAGUCCUAAGCUGUCUGCCUCGGUCCUAAGCUACCUGCAUUCCAUUCGUAACUUCCGCUUUCCUCGCAAUCACACAGACACUCACAACUGCCCAACCUGCCACCAGCCCGAACUGCCCACCCUUAAAACUGAAGGAAUUAAAAUUUUGGUAAAGUAUACAUAAUUAAUUUAAUUGGAUAUUUU
rnacentral:lncRNA from 1 species